rnacentral:rRNA from 1 species
AGCAGCCGCGGUAAUUCCAGCUCCAAUAGCGUAUAUUAAAGUUGUUGCAGUUAAAAAGCUCGUAGUUGAAUUUCGGGGUCAGUAGGUCGGUCGUGCCACUGGUAUGAACUGGUUUUACUGAUUCCUCCCUCUUGAAGAACUGUAAUGCCAUUAAUUUGGUGUUGCAGGGAAUCAGGACUGUUACUUUGAAAAAAUUAGAGUGUUUAAAGCAGGCUUUAGCUUGAAUACAUUAGCAUGGAAUAAUGAAAUAGGACGUUUGAUCCUAUUUUGUUGGUUUCUAGGAUUGACGUAAUGAUUAAUAGGGAUAGUUGGGGGCAUUAGUAUUCAAUUGUCAGAGGUGAAAUUCUUGGAUUUAUUGAAGACUAACUUCUGCGAAAGCAUUUGCCAAGGAUGUUUUCAUUAAUCAAGAACGAAAGUUAGGGGAUCGAAGACGAUCAGAUACCGUCGUAGUCUUAACCAUAAACUAUGCCGACUAGGGAUCGGACGAUGUUAAUUUUUUAAUGACUCG